AACGCACCUUGCGCUCCUUGGUAUUCCGAGGAGCAUGCCUGUUUGAGUGUCGUGAAAUUCUCAAUCCCCUAGAUUUCUUGUCUAGUGGGGCUUGGACUUGGAGGCUUGUGUUGGCUCUCGUUAGCUGACUCCUCUUAAAUGCAUUAGCGUGAAUCUUUUACGGAUCGCCUUCAGUGUGAUAAUUAUCUGCGCUGUGGUGUUGAAGUAUCAAUUUGAUAGUUCAUGCUUCUAACUGUCUCUUUCAGAGACAAUCACUUUGACAAUCUGGCCUCAAAUCAGGUAGGACUACCCGCUGAACUUAA
rnacentral:misc_RNA from 1 species